rnacentral:lncRNA from 1 species
GUAUAUUAUACAGUGCCUCCUAUUUAGAUAUACCUAGGGUUACAGCUGAGUACUAUUUCGGCUUUUUCUACAAGCUGCUGUUGCCAUUUGAGCCUUUCUGUUAGAGGUUGUUACAUUGUUUAGACUCACUGUGUUAUGUAACAACCCUAUCUGUACUUACUAUAUUUAAUGUGGUCUUGAUGUGCUCAGCAGCUUUCUUUCAGC